GGGGAUGUAAAGGUUUCGACAGGGAUUAUGAACCUGAGUAAGCGGGUAGUGGCGCGGACACACUUUAAAAUCCGUAAUUUUAAAAUUAAACGACAACAAUAAAGUUGCCUUAGCAGCCUAAUUAGGCUGCCGUCCAAUCAAAGAGUACCGCGGCUUUGUGCGGGCGUCGAUCAGCGGUAAAUCUGAAUUAAAAAGUUUUCCGGUUUUAAUCAGAAAUUAAGGAAAUACCGAAUUGAGAUUUUUGUUUGUUAAAGCUUAAAAAGGGAAAUUAAAAAACAAACUCCACCCGAAGAAAUCUCAGGGAACUGAUUUUUGGACACGGGUUCAAUUCCCGUCAUCUCCACCA
rnacentral:tmRNA from 1 species